GACGAACGCUGGCGGCGUGCCUAAUACAUGCAAGUCGAACGCAGUGGGGACGGGUGCGUAACACCUGGGUAACCUCGCAUCAGAGGGGAGAACACUUGGAAACAGGUGCUAAACCGCUACUGAUGGAUGGACCCGGGGUGCAUUAGCUAGUUGGUGGGGUAACGGCUCACCAAGGCCACGAUGCAUAGCCGGUCUGAUGUGGUUACCGGCCACACUGGGACUGAGACCAGGCCCAGACUCCUACGGGAGGAAGCAGUGGGGAAUCUUCGGCAAUGGUCGAAAGUCUGACCGAGAAAUGCAGCGUGAGUGAAGAAGGUGUUCGGAUCGUAAAACUCUGUUGUUAGGGAAGCGGUAUCUAACCAGAAAGCCACGGCUAACUACGUGCCAGCCGCCGCGGUAAUAC
rnacentral:rRNA from 1 species